UCGGAGACUUUUAAUGAGAACCUAGUGGGCUCAGACCUGUGCUUUAAAGGCACUGUGAGGACAGAUGGAAGACCCAGAGCCUGGGGCCAACCAGGCAGAAGAUGAAGCUCCAGCUAAGAUGCUUGGCUGAGGUCACACAGUGAGAAUGGGGUGAGCCGGAACUUGCCUCCAGGACCUCUGAUUGCAAGUUCACGCUCUGAGGCACAGACCUCUUUAGCUGGUUGGCAGAUGUAGAAAUGGCCUUCUCCAAGCUUGUCCCAAGUCCCAGUACUCAGCACAGUGGGUAAGGUCAGGCUUUGUUUUGGAUUCUGGACCCCAAGACCCUUCAGCUGUACUGCUGAAAAAUACAAAAUGGAGCUGAGAGGAUUCCAGCAUGUGGCUGGGGGUCAUGUGAAGGAUCCCAGGCAGGGCCAUCACUGGGUGGUGCAGAUGCCUGAGGGCAUACGGAUGAUGGACACUGCUGCUCCCAGAGUCCUUGCUUCCCAUUCAAGUCUGUGCUGAGUGCUGGAGACCUAUUCCUUCUUCCCUAUGCCCUCUCUGUCCUUCCUCAGUGCAGUGUGGCUC
rnacentral:lncRNA from 1 species